AUCAGCAUGCCGCGGUGAAUACGUUCCCGGGCCUUGUACACACCGCCCGUCACACCAUGAGAGUCGGGAACACCCGAAGUCGGUAGUCUAACCUCGUGAGGACGCCGCCGAAGGUGGGCUUGAUAAUUGGGGUGAAGUCGUAACAAGGUAUC
rnacentral:rRNA from 1 species